UACGUAGGGGGCAAGCGUUGUCCGGAAUCAUUGGGCGUAAAGCGCGCGUAGGCGGCCCGGUAAGUCCGCUCUGAAAGUCCAGGGCUCAACCCUGGAAAGCGGGUGGAUACUGCCGGGCUAGAAUCCGGAAGAGGCGAGUGGAAUUCCUGGUGUAGCGGUGGAAUGCGCAGAUAUCAGGAGGAACACCAAUAGCGAAGGCAGCUCGCUGGGACGGUAUUGACGCUAAGGCGCGAAAGCGUGGGAGCA
rnacentral:rRNA from 1 species